rnacentral:piRNA from 1 species
UGCUUUUGGCAAGUGCUGUGCCUUUCCUCU